UAACUGAUUACUAUAAAGAAUAUAACUUAUGAAUACUAUCUUUCUAUUGUACUAUUUCCUAAUAAGGGCAUGAAUAUAUGAAAGCACAGUAUGUAUUCUAACAAAGAACAAGA